CCUACGGGGGGCUGCAGUGGGGAAUAUUGCACAAUGGGCGCAAGCCUGAUGCAGCCAUGCCGCGUGUGUGAAGAAGGCCUUCGGGUUGUAAAGCACUUUCAGCGGGGAGGAAGGCGGUGAGGUUAAUAACCUCAUCGAUUGACGUUACCCGCAGAAGAAGCACCGGCUAACUCCGUGCCAGCAGCCGCGGUAAUACGGAGGGUGCAAGCGUUAAUCGGAAUUACUGGGCGUAAAGCGCACGCAGGCGGUCUGUCAAGUCGGAUGUGAAAUCCCCGGGCUCAACCUGGGAACUGCAUUCGAAACUGGCAGGCUAGAGUCUGGUAGAGGGGGGUAGAAUUCCAGGUGUAGCGGUGAAAUGCGUAGAGGUCUGGAGGAAUACCGGUGGCGAAGGCGGCCCCCUGGACAAAGACUGACGCUCAGGUGCGAAAGCGUGGGGAGCAAACAGGAUUAGAUACCCGGGUAGUC
rnacentral:rRNA from 1 species